UAUCUAUAUCCUUGUCCAUAUUGUUUCUCAUAGGGUUUGAUGUUGGAGACCUUUCAGAUGAUGGUCCUGUGUUGUUGAUGGAACGGAUGCUUUCAGCAGCACACACUGCAAAUCUUUUGUCAGCUGAGCCAGCUGAUGGUAUCUUGUUGUUGUUGUAUGGGUCAUAUACUAGUAUUGAUUUCCAGUACUAGUUUCUCUUUUCAUUCAACUUUGAGAGCUUUAAACACCAAAAAACCUUUAACUCUAUUGCCAAUGAGAAUUUAAACACACACAUAUUUGUGAACAGAUAGUAAACUCAUAUGAUAGAAUGCUGGACAUGAUGCUUAAUCUUUGUUUGGUUACUUCGAUUGUCACUCAAAAACUUGGCAUUGGUGGGUUCAGUAUGGGUGCUGCAACUGCAUUGUACCCUGCCACUUGCUUCACACAUGGAAAAUACGAAAAUGGCAGUCUAUAGACUCUAUACCUUAUAAACUUCAGUGCAGUUAUUGGCCUCAGUGGCUGGCUUCCAUGCUCAAGGUCUGUUCUAUCUUAAAAUCAUCUCAUCUGUCCAAUGUUUGAUCGAUGAAAAUAUCACAUCUAUCGAAUUCUCGGUAUGUGAAUAAAAAAUGCAAGAAAAUAUGCAUGUUCCACUCACCCAGGAGCUUGAACAAAGGUGGAAAGCUCACAUGAUGCUGCAAGGUGAGCUGCCUCCUUGCCACUUCCAUUGUGUCAUGGAAGAGGUACCUUCUCUGUCACAGAAGAACAUGAUUAGAUACCUUCGAUAUGCAGUUAUCUUGCAAUAAAUGUGGAGAAGAAUUGAUAAGCCAAAAGAUGUGAAUGUUACUGUUUGAUUCGUUUUGCCAUACCAACAGGAGCUCAGAAUCCUGAUUUGGAUGCACACAAUUUACCAUGAGUUUGUUUCAGGUGAUGGAGUGGUUCCGUAUAAACACGGGAAAAUUCUGGAGAGGUUCUAAGAGUGUUUGGGUUCAGAAAUCUCACGUUCAAGACCUUUUACAAUGGACUCGAACACUGCACAAUACCAGAAGAAAUGGAUACUGUCUGCAAGUGGCUCACAGCAUGGCUGCAGCUUGAUGGGUCUCGCAGAAAGUAUAUCCAAUUAGUGCAUUAAAUAUGUAGAAUUUGUAUGUAUACAAAUGUAUUCGGGAGUAUGUCAUUCUGAUACUAUUGCUUGAGUGGUCUAACAGCUUGAUAGAUAUGCUGCAUCUGUUGUUGCUGUGAGUGAAUAGUUUUGUUACUUCUGUAGUUGGGAGAGGAUAGGAUUUCAUUAGUAUCAACAUCUGUAUAAUAAAGUUCCAUGAGGGUAUGUUUCUCCUACACUGUCUUCCCAGUUCUUGUCCAUAAAUCCAGCCAGAAUUCAUUUGCUCUUCA